AUACGGAGGGUGCAAGCGUUACUCGGAAUCACUGGGCGUAGAGCGCGCGCAGGCGGUCUUUUAAGUUGGAUGUGAAAGCCUACGGCUCAACCGUAGAACUGCAUCCAAAACUAUUAGACUAGAGUGUGGGAGAGGAAGAUGGAAUUAGUUGUGUAGGGGUAAAAUCCGUAGAGAUAACUAGGAAUACCAAAAGCGAAGGCAAUCUUCUGGAACACUACUGACGCUGAGGCGCGAAAGCGUGGGGAGCAAACAGGAUUAGAAACCCCAGUAGUCC
rnacentral:rRNA from 1 species